UCGCGUACAAAGCGAACGAAUCCGAGCGUGAGCGAAUGCGCCCGUUCGUGUUUACCCAGACCAUUCACACCGAUUCUUUCGCCAGCGUUCGCGUUCGUUCGUUCGUUCGAGUUCGUACACGGUCCGAAUUGCGCAAGACCCGAUUUCAUGGCGCACGUGGUGUAUAUAACGGGGCGUUUUUUGAUUACCACCGAGUUAGCGUACACCGCGGUAUUAUGGUCACGCAUAGCGUACCCCUUGUUCCGCCUUGUACGUGCAUGUUGUCGCGAAUCUCGUAAUGUUGUUGUUUUUAGAUAGAGUCCACGUCAAUUAAUACAACGUGUUAUUAUUCAAACCGACUCACUACGGCGACGCCGGUCGUGUGACUACUCGU